rnacentral:rRNA from 1 species
UACGGAGGGUCCAAGCGUUAUCCGGAAUCAUUGGGUUUAAAGGGUCCGUAGGCGGUUUUGUAAGUCAGUGGUGAAAGCCCAUCGCUCAACGGUGGAACGGCCAUUGAUACUGCAAGACUUGAAUUAUUGGGAAGCAACUAGAAUAUGUAGUGUAGCGGUGAAAUGCUUAGAGAUUACAUGGAAUACCAAUUGCGAAGGCAGGUUGCUACCAAU